rnacentral:rRNA from 1 species
AUCAUUACAGUGUUGGCUGCCCUCACGGGUAGCAAACCUCACCCUUGUAUAUUAUACCUUACAUUCUGAAAAUGUCGUCUGAGUACUAUCUAAUAGUUAAAACUUUCAACAACGGAUCUCUUGGUUCUGGCAUCGAUGAAGAACGCAGCGAAAUGCGAUAAGUAAUGUGAAUUGCAGAAUUCAGUGAAUCAUCGAAUCUUUGAACGCACAUUGCGCCCGGUGGCAUUCCGCCGGGCAUGCCUGUUCGAGCGUCAUUUAAACCAAUCCAGCCUCGUGCUUGGGUCUUGGGCCUUUCGCCUUCGGGCGGGCCUCAAAAUCAGUGGCGGUGCCGUCUGGCUCUAAGCGUAGUAAUACUCCUCGCUAUAGACGUCCGGUGGUGGCUUGCCAACAACCCCCAAUUUUAUCAGGUUGACC